ACUUCCCUCCUCUCUCAGGCGUCUUCUUGGAGGGCUCGGAGCUCGUGUUCCCGGACCUAGUCCAGCUCAUCUGUGCCUACUGCCACAGCCGGGACAUCCUUCUCCUCCCGCUGCAGCUCCCCAGAGCCAUCCACCGCGCAGCCACCCACAAAGAGCUGGAGGCCAUCUCCCAUCUGGGCAUUGGUAAGGGCUCCCUGCCACCCAUUGCACAGAUGAACAAGCUGAGGCUGAGGGCAAGGGAAGGCUCGCGCACACCUCCCGAAGCCCAUGCCUUGCCUUGGUUGGGAGACUUCCCCUAACCAAUCCUGGAGGCCCCAGUCAGUUUCUUGUUCCCUAGAGUUCUGGAGCUCCUCCCUCAACAUCAAGGCUCAGCGGGGCCCGGCUGGAGGCCCAGUGUUGCCCCAGCUGAAGGCCCGGUCCCCUCAAGAGCUGGACCAGGGCACCGGAGCCGCCUUGUGCUUCUUCAACCCCCUGUUCCCGGGGGACCUAGGGCCCACCAAGCGGGAGAAAUUCAAGAGAAGCUUCAAAGUGCGCGUGUCCACAGAGACCUCCAGCCCCCUGUCUCCACCUGCCGUGCCGCCUCCCCCCGU
rnacentral:sRNA from 1 species